AGUGCGCACUCCUCCCAGUGCACUGGCCGGUUGGAGUUUUGCCAGGGAGGCCUUCCCACCUGCCUGUCUCAAUGGAAAGAAUAUGUGGAUUUGGAUUCAGGGACACCUUUAUCACCUAUGUGACUUUAGGAGUCAAUGAAGCAAGUUCAUGAGACUCUGAGGCAAGGACACCAAACCAGGGGUUUUAGCUCCUACCCAUGGUACUGGCUAAUAUAUCUGACCACACUGGCUCUGCAAGACCAUGGCUGAAGACUGCUUAAAUGUUGUCCCUGAGUCAAUAUCUUAACAUUUAUUGCAUCUUUUAUUUUCUUAACAAAAAUGAAGGCAUUUGUGACUGUGUUGUUUUCCAUCAAAAAUUGGGAAUCAUGCCCUUUCAUACAACACAGUUGUGGUCCAUCUUUUCUUCUGGGGUAGUAGAAAGAUCAAGAUCAUCAGAGAACGUAGGGUGCAAUAUCAGCUCUCCAGUACCAAACACGGUUCAUUAACCUCUCGGAACCUCAGGUGUCUUGGGGCAUAGUUCAUGUCUCCUGGCCCAUCUCACAGGAUUAUCAGGAGGACGAAUGAGAUAAGUGAGUGCAUUUUGUAAAUUGUGAAGUGCUAAAUAAAUGCAAGGUAAUGCAAUAUUAAUUGUGAAGUCUUCACUCAAGCUAUUAGUUCAUUAACAUACACUCGGCAAAUGGCUUUGAGUACCUGGUAUGUGGCACAGGCACUGUUUUAAGCAUUGGGAAUCAGCAGUCAAAAAAGCAGAUAAGACUGUCUUGGGGCAGUGGGAAAAAGACAU
rnacentral:lncRNA from 1 species